GCGCGAAACCUCCGCAAUGCACGAAAGUGCGACGGGGGGACCCCAAGUGCUCAUGCACAGCAUGGGCUUUUAUCAAGUGUAAACAGCUUGAGGAAUAAGGGCUGGGCAAGUUCGGUGCCAGCAGCCGCGGUAAUACCGACGGCCCGAGUGGUAGCCACUCUUAUUGGGCCUAAAGCGUCCGUAGCCGGUCCAGUAAGUCCCUGUUUAAAUCCUGCGGCUUAACCGCAGGACUGGCAGGGAUACUGCUGGACUUGGGACCGGGAGAGGACAAGGGUACUCCAGGGGUAGCGGUGAAAUGUGUUGAUCCUUGGAGGACCACCUAUGGCGAAGGCACUUGUCUGGAACGGGUCCGACGGUGAGGGACGAAAGCCAGGGGCGCGAACCGGAUUAGAUACCCGGGUAGUCCUGGCCGUAAACUCUGCGAACUAGGUGUUAGGUAGGCCUCGUGCCUAUCUAGUGCCGAAGGGAAGCCGUUAAGUUCGCCGCCUGGGGAGUACGGUCGCAAGACUGAAACU
rnacentral:rRNA from 1 species